rnacentral:rRNA from 1 species
GAUGAACGCUGGCGGCGCGCUUAACACAUGCAAGUCGAACGGAAAGGCUCCUGCUUGCAGGGGUACUCGAGUGGCGAACGGGUGAGUAACACGUGGGUGAUCUGCCCUGCACUUCGGGAUAAGCCUGGGAAACUGGGUCUAAUACCGGAUAGGACGAUGGUUUGGAUGCCAUUGUGGAAAGUUUUUCGGUGUGGGAUGAGCUCGCGGCCUAUCAGCUUGUUGGUGGGGUAAUGGCCUACCAAGGCGUCGACGGGUAGCCGGCCUGAGAGGGUGUACGGCCACAUUGGGACUGAGAUACGGCCCAGACUCCUACGGGAGGCAGCAGUGGGGAAUAUUGCACAAUGGGCGCAAGCCUGAUGCAGCGACGCCGCGUGGGGGAUGACGGCCUUCGGGUUGUAAACUCCUUUCGCUAGGGACGAAGCGCAAGUGACGGUACCUGGAGAAGAAGCACCGGCUAACUACGUG